rnacentral:rRNA from 1 species
AUGGUGGAGGAACCGUCCGCCAAGCGACAUCAUGGCGAGACGUCAGACAAGAGAACCCUCACAGGGGUUGAGCUCCACGGCAAAGAGACGCUGGAGAUCGUCUGCACCAGCAAACCAGACAAGGUCGACGAGAUGAUGAGGAGGCUCAGGAUGAAGGGUGGCGGCUUGUAUCCGAGCUUCAUCGGAGUUGAUGUGGAAUACACAAGUGAAGAUGAAACUCCACAGAUGACGGCAGUCCUGCAGUUGUGCGUCGAGGAAUUCUGCUUGGUGUACCACAUCGCAGCGGCCACAAAGUGGACCAAGAGCCUCAAACAGUUCCUGCGGGAGGAGAAAUUGUACACAUUUGUCGGUUUUAGCAUUGGAGGUGACAAGCGCAUGCUGGACAAGUCUGGUUUGGAGAUCAACCCCAACAAUUUCAUCGACAUGCAGCGCAAGUGGAAAGAUCCAACCACCAACAAAUACUAUGACUCCUUGGCUGAUGUUGCAGGCGGUGUCAUCCACUCAUUCUAG